AGCCGGCUUUCAGCGCGCGACGUGACCGGAAUAAUUUCGCGCUUUUAGCGCGGGAUUGGUACGAAAUCCUCCACGGGACAAGAAAGAGAGAGUUCCCAGUUGUCUUGAAAGCACCAAAAAUCCAGAGAAUGCCAGACUUUGAUGACAAAGUCUGAUGACAAAAUUUCCCCAUGAAAGGACCUCCGCGCCACCAUCCUGUUCAAGUCAGCACAGCACAACAAGCGUCGAUCCUCACAGAAUGCUGACACCAUGAAAGGAAGCAUCAGAGAGUUUUUGUUUUUUAUUUUGGUUGGUGACGUUGGGUCCGGGUGCCGUCACCGAUGGAACCGGGGGUGCCUCAGCUAGCUUAUCGGGCUUCCACGCCGUAGCUGGCUCAAGAGGUCUUCUUUCCUCGGUUGGCUCGGCAGGCGCCCACCCCCGUCAGGCUCCCACGCCUCAGCGGGAUCGUCUGGCUCUCACGCCUCAGCUGGAUCGUCAGGCUCCCACGCCUCAGCCGGCUCGUCAGGCUUCUACGCCUCAGCCAGCUUGUCCAGUGCCCAUGCCUCGACAGUCCCGCUCCCCCUCUCUGGCACUCGAAGGUGCCAGGCUGCCCUUCAUUACGGACACCUGUCACCAUCAUUACGUGCAGCUGCGCAAUAUUGGAUUUACCUGGACUCCAUUAAUUUGUUGAUUACCCCCUCUAUACCUGUCUGCUCCUCAGUUUGUUCCCUGUGUCAGCAUUGAUGUUGUUAUUUUUCCUCUGUCCAGAUGCUGUUCCUGUUCCGUUUCAUGUUUUCACUUGCUUCUCAUCUCCAGCGUCAAUCCUCACAAAAUUCCCCUUUUAUUUAUCCUACGGUUCUGACUUGGUGUACAGGGAGAACACUGUAAAAAUGGCCCAUGUUCUGAAUUCUGUUGCUGUACAUUUCAAAAGAACUGAUCAAAUAGUUAUUUUGAUUACGUCUGUCCUAGCUCGCUCAUUAAUGUCUUAAUCGAAAUUACGGAUUGCCUCUUAUCUGCUUGUCGACCCCUUAUGCCAUAGUUUGUACAUCUCAGUUGUCAGUAGAAAUCACAUUUGUUUAAGCAAGUCAGCCAUAUCAGCUAUGUUUUUUAAAAGGCAGUUAAUGAGGCUGAAUUAUCUGUUUCGCUGCCAGACAAGGCAUUUGUAGUAUAGUGCAAAUAAUGUAUUGUUUAGUGUUGUGUUGUGUAGUGUCUUUGCUGGCAUGCAUCCCACAUUUAGAUUUUUUGCCCCACCAAGAUUUAAAUGCUAAAACUGAUAAUAUCACCGCGAGAAAUUAAAUAUCUAUGAGGA